rnacentral:rRNA from 1 species
GGAAAAACCGUGUGGCAAUGGGAAGACGUGAUGCGGAGCGAAAUAAAGUAGCGAAGUCCGUGAGCUGUGCGUCAAGAAAAGCCGCUAUUGUUCAUACCAUACCCGUACCGUAAACCGACACAGGUGGAUGAGGAGAGAAUCCUAAGGCCGGCGGAAGAAGCAUUGUCAAGGAACUCGGCAAAAUGACCCCGUAACUUCGGGAGAAGGGGUGCCUGUGAAAACAGGCCGCAGAGAAUAGGCUCAAGCAACUGUUUAGCAAAAACACAGGUCUAUGCGAAACCGAAAGGUGAGGUAUAUGGGCUGACGCCUGCCCGGUGCUGGAAGGUUAGGAGGAGAGGUUAGCGCAAGCGAAGCUUUGAAUUUAAGCCCCAGUAAACGGCGGCCGUAACGAUAACGGUCCUAAGGUAGCGAAAUUCCUUGUCGGGUAAGUUCCGACCCGCACGAAAGGCGUAAUGAUUUGAGCGCUGUCUCGACAAUGCAUCCGGUGAAAUUGAAGUACCAGUGAAGAUGCUGGUUACCUGCGCCAGGACGGAAAGACCCCAUGGAGCUUUACUCCAGUUUGGUACUGGGAUCCGGUACUGCACGUACAGGAUAGGUGGGAGGCUAUGAAGCGGUAACGCCAGUUGCCGCAGAGCCGCUGUUGGGAUACCACCCUUGCAGUAUUGGGUUUCUAACCAGCCGCCGUGAACCGGCGGUGGGACAAUGCCAGACGGGGAGUUUGACUGGGGCGGUCGCCUCCGAAAGGGUAUCGGAGGCGCCCAAAGGUUCCCUCAGAAUGGACGGAAACCAUUCGAAGAGUGCAUAGGCAGAAGGGAGCUUGACUGCGACACCGACGGGUGGAGCAGGUACGAAAGUAGGGCUUAGUGAUCCGGUGGUAUUAAGUGGGAAUGCCAUCGCUCAACGGAUAAAAGCUACCCUGGAUAACAGGCUUAUCACUCCCAAGAGUUCACAUCGACGGAGUGGUUUGGCACCUCGAUGUCGGCUCAUCGCAUCCUGGGGCUGUAGUAGGUCCCAAGGGUUGGGCUGUUCGCCCAUUAAAGCGGUACGCGAGCUGGGUUCAGAACGUCGUGAGACAGUUCGGUCCCUAUCCGGCGUGGGCGUAGGAUAUCUGAGAGGAGCUGUCCUUAGUACGAGAGGACCGGGAUGGACGGACCGCUGGUGUACCGGUUAGACUGCCAAGUCUACGGCCGGGUAGCCAAGUCCGGAAGGGAUAAACGCUGAAGGCAUCUAAGCGUGAAGCCCCCCUCGAGAUGAGAUAUCCCAUCCGAAAGGAGUAAACCCCCUUGAAGACGACGAGGUCGAUAGGGCAGGGGUGGAAGCACAGUAAUGUGUGGAGCUGACUGCUACUAAUAGGGUGAGGGCUUGACC